rnacentral:rRNA from 1 species
AACGAACGCUGGCGGCAGGCUUAACACAUGCAAGUCGAGCGAAGACUUCGGUCUUAGCGGCGGACGGGUGAGUAACGCGUGGGAACGUGCCCUUCGCUACGGAACAGUCCUGGGAAACUGGGUUUAAUACCGUAUACGCCCUUCGGGGGAAAGAUUUAUCGGCAAAGGAUUGGCCCGCGUUGGAUUAGGUAGUUGGUGGGGUAAAGGCCUACCAAGCCGACGAUCCAUAGCUGGUUUGAGAGGAUGAUCAGCCACACUGGGACUGAGACACGGCCCAGACUCCUACGGGAGGCAGCAGUGGGGAAUAUUGGACAAUGGGCGCAAGCCUGAUCCAGCCAUGCCGCGUGGGUGAAGAAGGCCUUAGGGUUGUAAACCCCUUUCAGCGGGGAAGAUAAUGACGGUACCCGCAGAAGAAGUCCCGGCUAACUCCGUGCCAGCAGCCGCAGUAAA